rnacentral:rRNA from 1 species
AUUGAACGCUGGCGGCAGGCCUAACACAUGCAAGUCGAGCGAGCGGCGGACGGGUGAGUAAUGUCUGGUAAACUGCCUGAUGGAGGGGGAUAACUACUGGAAACGGUAGCUAAUACCGCAUACCAUCAGAUGUUCCCAGAUGGGCUUAUCUAGUAGGUGGGGUAACGUGCCACCUAGGAGACGAUCCCUAGCUGGUCUGAGAGGAUGACCAGACACACUGGAACUGAGCCCCGGUCCAGACUCCUACGGUAGGCAGCAGUGGGGAAUAUUGCACAAUGGGCGCAAGCCUGAUGUAGCCAUGCCGCGUGUGUGAAGAAGGCCUUCGGGUUGUAAAGCACGUUCAGCGGGGAGGCGUUACCCGCAGAAUAAGCACCGGCUAACUCCGUGCCAGCAGCCGCGGUAAUAC